AUGCUUCAAGUGUGGUCAACCAGGACACAGUGCCAGGGCUACUCUCAGAAUCAGUACCAGCUUGCACUUCCUCAAACUGGCCAUGGUAACAAUCAGCCCCGCAACAACAAUAUCAGGCCUUAUGGUCGUGGUCAAGCCAACCACAUUGAUCUGAAUGGAGCUCAAGACCAGCCUGCUACUGUGUUGGGUACUCUUCUUGUUAACUCAGUACCAGCUUCUGUUUUAUUCGAUUCAGGAGCAUCGCAUUCUUUCAUAUCCGAAGAUUUUGCAUCCAUGCAUGGCCUUAAAUUUGAAGAAAUGAAUAACCCGCUAGUGGUACACACCCCCGCGGGCCAAUGUCGAACCACCAUGGUUAGUCUCAAUGUCCCCGUUGAAAUUGAAGGGCUGAAAUUCCAUGUUUCCCCCAUCGUUUUGAAGUCGUCCAAUAUCGACCUCAUCCUGGGAAUGGAAUGGUUGAAAACGCAUAACGCUUCUAUCAUUUGUGCCACUAAAACCGUGCAUCUACUACAUCUGUCAAGUGAGAUAGUGAGCUACCAUGCUCAUCUUGUUCGGAAUGCCGAAGCACGGAUUUAUUCCUUGGAUGCAUGA
rnacentral:rRNA from 1 species